rnacentral:rRNA from 1 species
GACGAACGCUGGCGGCGCGCCUAACACAUGCAAGUCGAACGGAGUCAAGAGGAGCUUGCUUUUCUUGACUUAGUGGCGAACGGGUGAGUAACGCGUGAGUAACCUGCCCUGGAGUGGGGGACAACAGUUGGAAACGACUGCUAAUACCGCAUAAGCCCACGGAUCCGCAUGGAUCUGCGGGAAAAGGAUUUAUUCGCUUCAGGAUGGACUCGCGUCCAAUUAGCCAGUUGGUGAGGUAACGGCCCACCAAGGCGACGAUUGGUAGCCGGACUGAGAGGUUGAACGGCCACAUUGGGACUGAGACACGGCCCAGACUCCUACGGGAGGCAGCAGUGGGGGAUAUUGCACAAUGGGGGAAACCCUGAUGCAGCGACGCCGCGUGGAGGAAGAAGGUUUUCGGAUUGUAAACUCCUGUCGUUAGGGACGAUAAUGACGGUACCUAACAAGAAAGCACCGGCUAACUACGUG